GAUGAACGCUGAGGACUGGUGCUUGCACUGGUCUAAGGAGUUGCGAACGGGUGAGUAACGCGUAGGUAACCUACCUCAUAGCGGGGAUAACUAUUGGAAACGAUAGCUAAUACCGCAUGACAAUAGGGUACACAUGUACCCUAUUUAAAAGGGGCAAAUGCUUCACUAUGAGAUGGACCUGCGUUGUAUUAGCUAGUUGGUAAGGUAACGGCUUACCAAGGCGACGAUACAUAGCCGACCUGAGAGGGUGAUCGGCCGCACUGGGACUGAGACACGGCCCAG
rnacentral:rRNA from 1 species